rnacentral:rRNA from 1 species
GUCUACCACCAUACCACCCUUAAUUUACCUGGUCUCAUCUGAUCCUAGAAGAUAAGCAGGGUUGGACCUGUUUAGUACUUGGAUAGGAGAAAAAUAUAAUCUUAAUUU